rnacentral:rRNA from 1 species
UACGUAGGGUCCGAGCGUUGUCCGGAAUUACUGGGCGUAAAGAGCUCGUAGGUGGUUUGUCGCGUUGUUCGUGAAAACUCACAGCUUAACUGUGGGCGUGCGGGCGAUACGGGCAGACUGGAGUACUGCAGGGGAGACUGGAAUUCCUGGUGUAGCGGUGGAAUGCGCAGAUAUCAGGAGGAACACCGGUGGCGAAGGCGGGUCUCUGGAACGGUACUGACGCUGAGACGCGAAAGCGUGGGGAGCGAACAGG